GGCUGGGCUCUGCCUGGGACUGGCGUGGCCGGUUGGCGGGGUUGCCUUUUGCACCCUAAGAACUUUGGGAAGAGGGAUGGGAACUCUGUGGCUGCUUCCUGGUCCUGGGUCUGAAAACCACUUAAUUUUGCACAGUUGGCCAUUUCUCCACCCAAGGUGCCUCGGGCUUCCUUCCACAGGCAAAAUGUGUGGCCAGUGAGGUGAUGGCCUUGCUUAUACCGAAGUUGGCUCAUGGCGUUCAUGAGACUUGAAAAGCACUUUCAAGUGUUUUAUCUCAUUUGGAGCCUCCCGACAGCUCUGUGAACCUGAGGAGGGCAAGCAUUUCCCACGAGUUGCAGGAUGGCGGAGUGCAUCAGAGACUCUGCAGACUCCCCUGGACGUGUGGAGACCCAUCCCGAGAGCAUUAAAUUCCUUGCAGCUUCCAGCAAGUUGAGGACAGAGCCCAGAGACUGAAAUGAAAACACCAACAGGAGGGGGUCUGCUCUUACCCACCGAGUUUCGGGCAUAGUAGGCAUUCGGCAAAUAUUUGCUGAAAGCAAACACCGAGGGGUCCUAUUAAUUCCGAGCCGUUUUCUGCCCCUGCUGCACCGUGUGCGGAACGCAUGGCCACGGCAGCCGAAGGGUCUUUUUCUGAACGGAUGAGCCUGAUGCCUAUAAUUUUCCCAAAGAGAAAUAUUUGUGGAUGUGGCCACAUGCCAUGGAACUUUCUAGGCUUCCUGCUUUCGUUUGCUAUCCGCAGAAACUUUGCUUUUCUUUCCUAUACGUGGUCACUGCGUUUACCCUCCUGUCUCCCUAAAGAGAGCCCUUGGGGCAUGGGGGUGUUCUGUUGAGCCUAUGAGUCCUUUUUGCCUUUUCCUUUUUAUUUUAUUUUACUUUUUUAAAUAAUUAAGUAAUUAAUUAAUUUAUUUGUUGCCUGCAUUGGCUCUUCAUUGCUGUGCACGGGCUUUCUCUAGUUGCGGUAAGGGGGGGACUAUUCUUCAUUGCAGUGCAUGGGCUUCAGUAGUGUGGCAUGUGGGCUCAAUAGUUGUGGCUCACAGGCUCUAGAGCGCUCGCUCAGUAGUUGUGGCUCAUGGGCUCUAGAGCGCUUGCUCAGUAGUUGUGGCGCACGGGCUUAGUUGCUCUGCGGCAUGUGGGAUCUUCCGGGCCCAGGGAUCGAACCCGUGUCCCCUGCAUUGGCAGGCGGAUUCUUAACCACUGUGCCAUCAGGGAAGCCCUGUUUUACUUUUUUUAAAUUGAAGUAUAGUUGGUUUACAAUGUUGUGUUAGUCUCAGGUGUACAGCAAAGUGAUUCAGUUAUAUAUACAUAUAUAUUCUUUUUCACAUUAUUUUCCUUUAGAGGUUAUUACAAAAUAUUGCAUAUAGUUCCUUGUGCUAUACAGUAGGUCUUUGCUAGUUAUCUAUUUUAUAUAUAGUGGUGUGUAUCUGUUACUGCUAAUUCAUACCUCCCCCCACUAUCCCCUUUGGUAACCAUAAGCUUGUUUUCUAUGUCUGUGAGUCUUGCAAAUAAGUUCAUUUAUAUCAUUCUUUUUAAGAUUCCACAUACAAGCACUAUCAUAAGAUAUGCGCCUUCUUCUGUCUGUUUGCCUUCUUCUCGAUGCUUAUCAAAAUCCAUUCUGGACCCCUUAGACAUGGGAUUUGGGUUGCUCUGUCUGCCAUAGCCUGGGAGCUGGAGAGUUGCUGGACAGCAGUAAGGUUGUGUUGUAGGGAUGCUGUUCUGUGUUAAGCUAUCAACACCCUCUCUGAGCUGAAGACUGCAGAAUUAGAAAUGUGCCCUGAGUGGGGGCUGAAGACUCAGAGUCCUGGGGCCCUGGGCAUUCGGGGCAAUGUAGUGAGCUUACUGUAAUCCCAGAGCUCCUGAGGAGAACGGUUGGCCACGGCUGUGGUCAGACACAGAAGCCCACUGGUUCCAUGUCUGGCUCAUGCAGUCAUGUGGACCGUGCUAAGGCCAUGACUCACACACCUGCCAACACUGCCCCUUCCAAAGGCAAAGGCUCAACCCAUAACUAAGCCUAGGGAAGCAUCUCUAAUCUGUUCCUUAUUCAUGGGUGACCAUGUCUAUUUGUCAGGAUCUUCCAGAGAACAGUAGGAUACAUAUCUAUAUCUAUAUCGAUAUCUAUAUCUAUACCUAUGUACAGAGAUUUAUUAUACGGAAUUCACUGAUGCAGUGAUGGAGGCUAAGUCCCUAGACCUGCAGUCAGCAAGCUGGAGACCAUCCCGGAAGAGCCGGUGUUUUAGUCAAGGACAAAGGCUAGAAAAGACCAGUCACACAGUCAGGCAGGAGGCAUUGCCUUCUAUUUGGCAUUUUUGCUCUAGUCGGGGUUUCAGUUGAUUGCAUGAGGGCCGCCCACAUUAGGAAGGGCAAUCUUCUUUACUCAGUCUACUGACUUAAAUGUUCACCUCACCCAGAAACCCCCAGAAUAAUGUUUAACCAAGUAUCCAGGCACCCCAUGACCCAGUCAAGUUGACGCAUAAAAUCAACCAUCACAACAUUCCAAACCACAAUUUCCACCCUUGGAGAGGCUGAGUUGGUUGGGGGUCUUGCCCAAACCAAGGGCGGCCACUCUGUGGGCUGAGCGAUGACGUAUGAGGGAGUGUAGGAUAAAAGCCCUAAACAGGGACCACAGUAAUUAGCAAGGAUGGUUAUGGUCUCUCUCCUGGAGACAUAGAUGGAACCAGUUAAUUGGUACCAAAAGGAAACAUCCAGAGAGAAGUGGAGACCAAUUGGCAGUAGGGGAUCCAGGCUAAUAGAGGCAUCAGAGUGAAGGUGCAAGAACACCUGGUGCUGCUGGGGCAACAAGACAACAUGGAACACAGAGCCCCUUCUGUCCCGAACAACCUCCCAGGUUCAACCUCCGUGGGGCCGGCAGAACAUUAGAUUCUAUUCUCCCCUUGUAUCCCUUAUUACCAGAUGGUUCCUUAAAUAAACCAUAAAACCCCAGUUCUUAAGGUGAACUGAACGAGUCUUUUCCUUACCAUCAGACGAGAUGAACCCUUAUCUGCCACACAUGACUAACGCCAGUGACAUUAUUCUACUUGACUUUUCGGAGUGGCUGGAGUCCACAUGUAAGGAGAGACUGACUCAGAUGCUUUCUGCUCCAUCUCCUUACUUUGCUGGCGGAGUAAGAGCUAUGUUGGAGUAAGAGAAGCAGCAGGGGAAGGAGAUCACAGGAUAGGGCUGGAGACCUCGUUGUUGUGUAGGUGCAACUGUUCACAGAUUUCAUGGGAUAGAGAAAUGCGGGAUUGGGGCUGUUUUCUGAGUUGUUUUCCCCUCUGUUUGCCAUCGCAGGCUUUCAGACCACUCAGCUCACUAAUCUCCUCUUUGAUCUUCAGCACAGUCCUUAUAAGUCUCCCCGAAGGGGAAGGUAUUGGGUAGGUGGAAGGAAAAGAUGAGGUAAGUUGCUCACCAUGGCAACAUUAGAGUCAUUAUUUAUGUUACCUAGAGGAGCAUAGAAAAAGAUAUGCUUAUUCACUUGAUAAAUAUUUUUAAGUACCUACUCUGUGACAGGUAGGGUCUUAAGUUCUUAGAAGAUGUCAAUGAAUAAAACAAAGACCCCAGGGGAGCAGGCAACAAACUAUGAAUAUAGUAAGAUAGUAAUAUAAUAAAUAAUAAGUAUAAUACAGUAAGGUAAUAAAUAUACUAACAUGAGCACAUAUCAUGGGAUAUUGAAGGUGAUAAGUGUACUGGAAAGAAGGAAAUAUAGAACACGGGAGGAGGGCAUAGAACUUGUCAGGAGGAGGACAGAUUGCAAUUUUAAAGAAGGAAGGUCAAGGUUAGCCCCACUGAGAGCAUGACCUUUGUGAAAAGGCUUGCAAAAGGUGAAAGGGAGUUCGUCGUUGGAGCAUCUGGGGAAGAGUGUUCAGGCAGAUGGAACAGUCACUGCAAAGGUCCUCGGUCAGGAGCAUUGGGUGUGUUCAAGCAUUAAUGAGAAGGCCAGUGUGGCUGCAAGCUUGGGGGAAGGGAGGAAGAGGGAUGCUGGGCAGAGGGUCAUGGAGCCAGACCAUGCAGGCAACGGAGGCGAAAGAGAAGAAACAAGGAUGGACCUGAGCAAAAAAACAUAAUAGGCAAAUGGUGUUGGAUUAGUUUAAUCACUGAUGGAAUCAGUGACUCUUCUGGUGGGGGAGGGGAGCUGUAUAUCUUUGCACGGCUGCCCUGUUUAGAACACAGCACUGUCUUAAGGAGGCAUCAGUACCGACGGGCAAUGAUGUGUCUUGCUCCUGGUGUGUGAGGGCAGGGAAAGGGUUGAGGACUAAUGCUUUAAACCCGCUGAAGUGAACUAAUAUCUCUUCUUGUCUGCUAUGAGCGACUCUCUUCCAGGACAACAAUAUUUUUAUCAUUUACAUUCCAACAAGGUAUCCUGACCAGAAAUACAUUAGACAACGUCGUACAGUUUUUUUUUUGAAGCCUCUUAAGAGGUGUAUCUUAACGAAGCAACUGAGUGUUCCAGUGGUUUUCCACGUGUCCAUUUCAGAUCACAGAACCAACGUCAACUUCAUCACUUUCAGAUGGAUCUGGACUCGGAGAGGUGGUGACUAAGUGAUGGGUGAAUAUCCUAGUUAACGUGGUUUUGUUCCUCAGGAGGUGCCUGUCAUUUUAAACCUUGUUGAAAACGUUCUCUGUGGCUUCAUCUGGUGUUUCUAAUAUUCUAUCUUGCACAGUGAUUACAUUUUUGGAUGUAAUCUUCCCCUUUUGAGCAUUUGCCAGCUACUGUAGAGCUUCAUGACGUGUGGUGAGUUACAGUUUUCUGAGUCUCGGACCCUGUAGGGAUGGUCCCCAGAGGUGGUUCCUGCUUCCCCUCAACACCUGGCCUCAUUGUGGCUUCAUCAUGCAGUGAGUGCUGUCUCCUGACCUCCUCAUGUGACAGAGGGACAUUUUACUGGUGAAGUUGUACUCUGUAGUGAUAAUAACGUGUUAUACACUUGUCCCCAAAUUCAUAUUGGAGCCCUAACCCCCAAUGUGAUGGUAUUAGGAGGUGGGGCCUUUGGGAGGUGAUUAGGGUUAGAUGAGGUCCUGAGGUUGGGGGCCCCUUGAUGGGGUUAGUGCCCUUAUAAGAGGAGGAAAAGGCAUGAGAACUUCCUCUCUCUUCAUGUGAGCACACAGCAAGAAGGUGAUCACCUGCAACCCAGGAAGAAGACACUCAGAAACAGUGGAAUCUGUUGGCACUUUGGUCUUGGGCUUCCAGCCUUCAGAACCACGAGAAAUACGUGUUGUUUAAGCUACUCAGUCCAUAGUACUUUGUCACAGCAGCCUGAGCUAAGACAGCAAGUAUGAAGCUUUUUGUAGUCCUUGUUACGCAAGCUCACAAAUGUUUACUAUUUUUAUUUUUACCUUUUCUGACCAUUUUUUUUAAAAACUGAAGUAUAAUUAAAGUAUAAUAAAAUGCACAGCUCUUAAAAGUUCAGUUUGAUAAGUUUGGACUAUUGUCCUCCAUCACAUCUCUCAAGAUCUAGAGCACACCCACCAUCCUAGAAUGUCCACUUCUGCCCACUUCCAAUUAGUUACUGGCCCACUCUCAUGACCUUGGAGGCAACCACUGUCUGACUUCUAUCAUCAUAGAUGAGCUUUCCCUGUUCUAGAGUUUCAGAUAACUGGAUUCUUCCAGAUUAUGUUAUUUGUGUGUGUGACUCUGUCACUCAAUGUUUUUGAGAUGCCUUCAUGUAGUUGUACCUAUCAGUGAUUUAUUCCUUUUUAUUGUUGAGUAGUAUUCCACUGUAUGAAUAUACCACAAUUUGUUUAUCCAUCUUCCUGUUGAUGGGCAUUUUUUUUUUUUUUUGGUUAUUAUAAAUAA